GACGUCCGUCGCUUCCUGAUGAAUUCAUCGGCCCUGGGGGCCGGAGGGGAAUCUGGCCCCUGGAGGCUGGUAUUUGAACCCUAAACUCCCUUCUCAUGCCGACUGCAGGUCCGUCUGCCACGCGUGCAGGGAAAGAUUUUAAAAAGAAGCGAGGAGGAGUUGGAGAGUAACCUUGUUUAUGAUUUAAGGAGAUUGAAUUAAUUCCCAAUAAUGGGAAGAACCUACAUUGUAGAAGAGACUGUUGGCCAGUAUCUUUCAAACCUCAAUCUCCAAGGAAAGUCUUUUGUCUCCGGUCUUUUAAUAGGACAGUGUUCUUCACAAAAGGAUUAUGUGAUUCUUGCUACUAGAACACCACCCAAAGAGGAAAAAAAUGAGAACCUCAAACAUCCCAAAGAUAAGUUGGAUAACUUGGAUGAAGAAUGGGCCACAGAACAUGCUAACCAGGUAUCCAGAAUGCUACCUGGGGGACUUUUAGUUCUUGGAGUAUUUAUUAUUACAACUUUAGAAAUGGGAAAUGAUUUUCAAAACACCCUGCGCAGACUAGUAUUUGCCAUGGAAAAAUCUAUGAAUAAAAAGAGACUAUGGAAUUUCACAGAGGGGGAAGUCUCAGAUCGAGUGACACUUCACGUGUGCUCUUCUACAAAGAAAAUAGUUUGUCGAACUUAUGAUAUCCACGAUCCAAAGAGUUCAGCGAAACCAGCAGAUUGGAAGUAUCAAAAUGGACUAUCAACUUCCUGGCUUUCUUUAGAGUGUACAGUUCAUAUUAAUAUUCACAUCCCGCUGUCUACUACUUCUGUCAGCUAUACUCUGGAGAAAAAUGCAAAGAAUGGACUUGCACGCUGGGCCAAGCAAAUAGAAAAUGGUGUGUAUUUGAUUAAUGGACAAGUUAGAGCUGAAGAUUGUGAUCUACUAGAAGGACAGAAAAAAUCUUCUAAAGGAAGUACUCAAGCAGUUAGUCAGUCUUUUGAUGUCAGAGUAUUAACCCAGUUGCUUCUGAAUUCAGACCACAGAUCCACAGCCACCGUCCAGAUCUGCAGCGGCUCCGUAAACCUCAAGGGCGCUGUGAAAUGCAGAGCUUAUAUUCACAGCAGCAAACCCAAGGUUAAAGACGCUGUGCAGGCAGUGAAGAGAGAUAUAUUGAAUACAGUUGCUGAUCGUUGUGAAAUACUAUUUGAAGAUCUGCUUUUGAAUGAAAUCCCAGAAAAAAAAGAUUCUGAAAAAGAGUUUCACAUCCUUCCUCACCGAGUUUUUGUCCCCAUUCCGGGAUCCACAGUAAUGUUAUGUGAUUAUAAAUUUGGCGAUGAGUCAGCUGAAGAAAUCAGAGACCAUUUUAUAGAGAUGUUAGAUCAUAGGAUUCAAACAGAAGAUUUGGAAAUUGCAGAGGAAAUAAACACAGCUUUUAUGAGUUCCUCUAUGAAUACUGAACCUUCAUUGGACAACACAGAUGAUGAACAACCAAAAGAACCAAUUAAAACUACAGUAGUAUUGAAAAUUCAGCAAAACAUAGGUAUGAUUACAGCAUUUGCAGUUGCAGCCCUUGCUGCGGGUAUCUCCUUUCACUACUUCAGUGACUAGGGUGAGGCCAGAGACCUUCCUGAUCAUCCAGAGCACCCCGACCAACAAUUAUGAAUAAUAGAUGCAAACACGCCACCUGCAUUUAAGACAAUAGCAUCUGGAUCUGCUGCCAGACGCCUGUUAGAUUUUAGUCCUUUUGAUCUUGAUCAUAUAUUCAUCAGGACAUUAAAAAUUUGAAUAGUCAGGGUUGGCUGAAUAUCUUAGUGAUAGAACAAAGAAGAAAUUUCUACAAAGUGGGGCAACAAUCUAUUGGGUAAGUCGAUACUGUAGGACCUUUCUAAUGUAUGCCCAGUAUACAUUUCAAAAUACUGAUCAAGUUCUGAUCAAGGGGUAGGAAACCUUUCCAUAUUUGAAUCAGUGAAGAGUGCCAUAAAUCAUACUUUCUCUUAUUUAUAUAUCAAAUUGUUUUACUAUAUUAAAUAAGAGUUUUUCUUCCAGCAGUACAUUAGACUAGGUACUGCAAGACACCUAUAUCCUGAAUAAAAAGUUACCUUUGAAUGUAUUAAUAGGCUAAAGAAAGAGGAGGUUUCCAAGAAUCAUACCUUUAUUUUUCUUUCCCUAAAAAAAUGAACACAUUUUGAGUUGCAAAUCAUGAAUACUGUGUUAAGUGUACACGUGGACUGGUGCUGUCAGAUGGCAGAGACCUUACACAGUUUGCCUCAGACCGGAAACGAGGGGAUUAGAUUAAUCUGAAUCUGAGAUGCUACCCUAGCCAGGACAGCUGCGGUGGCCCCGUUUGUAGUACCCUCUAACUCCUGGCAGCAACAGGUAUAGGCCCGAGAUUCUCAUAGAUUAAGGUGAAGCGAUGUUAUUUCAUGACUAGACAUCACCAGGCACACGUUGAAACUAGCUAGCAUGAGAAAGUACAGAAAAGUAUAGAAAAAAACAACUUUGGAUUAAAUUCUCCCAGGUCUCGUUACCAACAUACUUGAAAGACAGAAUCACAGGUAGAUAUGCAAAAUAAAACAAACGGAACUGCUAGAAAUGAGAAAUAUUACUUGAAAUAAAAAACAAAAAACACCCUUUGACACGUUGAAUAUCAUAGUAGUCUCAGCUAAAAAGACAGUGAAUAAAUUGGAAGCUACUAUAUCUAAAGACAUGACACUAUAUGUAGUAGGAUAAAUGAGCUGCUGGAAGAUACAAAUACUAAGAGAUAUGGAGGGAAGAAUUAUGGAGACCAGAAGUCCCAGGGAGAGAGAAUAGAGGCUGGCGGAGUGGCAAUAUUUGAAGAAAGAACAGUUCUCCACAUUUAUUGGAAAAAUGUGAAUUCAUCAAUUCAGGAUGCACACUAUAUCCUAAGCAUAUAUAGAUAAAAUUUAUGCCUAAACCCAGUAUAAUGUAACUGCAAGAUACCAAACACAAGAUUUUCAAAGCAAUCAGAGGAGGAAAAAGAUCAUGCAGGUGAGACAAAUAGCAGGCUUCUUAAUGGCAACGUACCCAAAAGAUGGUAAAAUAACGCCUUCAAAAUUCUGAGACAAACUAAACUUAGAACAUGUACCAAGCAAGACUGAAAGAAAGACAUAGAUGAAAAACAGAUUUUACCAUCAACAGGCCUCUAUUAAAGAGGCUGCAAAAGUAUGAUCUUCAGGAGGAAAUGGAUUCUAAAAGGAUGAUCUGAAAUCGAAGAACUAGUGAGCAAAUAAAAUGGUAAACAUAUGUAAAUCAGGUGUUGUUUAUAGAAAACAAUUGUAAUGAAAGAAGUCUUUGUAAGAAUAAACAAAUGUAAAACUAAAUAAACUUUAUGCAAUAUUAAUGUGUGCUUUUAAAAUAGGAUAUAAUUGAAAAACUG